UUAUUCACUGAUUCAUUUACUCACCAAGUAUUUACUGAGCAGAUACCUUGUACCAGGAACAGUGAGGGGCCUGGGGAUCUAGCAGAAAAUAAAACAGACACCCCAAAGGUGGUUUUCUCCUCCCCCCACUUUGUAAUUGAGUUGUCAUUACGUUUACAGCAUUUCUUCUUGCCUUCAUGUUUGCAUUCUGCAGCUGCAUUUGACACCGUGAGAAGGUGACGGCUUUAGAGCCCGGCAGACGGGGCCCAGAAUUGUCCCUCUGCUCCUGGGUCUUCCGUGGGUGCCACGGGGUGGCUGCCUGCCUGUCUGCACACGCCAGGUGCCUCACCAGUGAGACUGGUCAGUGAAUUACUUAUUUGAAUGAAUAACACAUGAGCCCUUUGCAUUUCACAAAUCAGCUCAUGUUAGUGCAGAUUCAUCACACUGUGUUUGGCUUAUCAGAUACUUAAACGAGAUGCCUCCAUUUCCAAGGCAACAGUGUCCUGGUCCCUCCACCCCGAGGCUGCUGCUUCGGGUCCUCCCCUGUCCACUCCCGGACUCAGCAUCAUCAGGUUUACAUGUUCUGAUGACACAAGCAAUAUAUACCCACUUUUCAAACUAUGAAAAUCAGCGAAGCAUCAAGAAAAAGGAUGUACUUGCUGUUGAUGUUCUCGUGUGACACUGGGGCCUUUCCUGCAG